AAUUUUGGACAAUGGGGGAAACCCUGAUCCAGCCAUCCCGCGUGUAUGAUGAAGGCCUUCGGGUUGUAAAGUACUUUUGGCAGAGAAGAAAAGGUACCUCCUAAUACGAGGUACUCCUGACGGUAUCUGCAGAAUAAGCACCGUCUAACUACGUGACAGCAGCCGCGGGAAUACGUAGGGUGCAAGCGUUAAUCGUAAUUACUGGGCGUAAAGCGUGUGUAGGCGGUUCGGAAAGAAAGCUGUGGAAUCCCAGGGCUCAACCUUGGAACUGCAUUUUUAACUGCCGAGCUAGUGUAUGUCAGAGGGGGGUAGAAUUCCACUUGUAGCAGUGAAAUGCGUAGAUAUGUGGAGGAAUACCGAUGGCGAAGACAGCCCCCUGGGAUAAUACUGACGCUCAGACACGAAAGCGUGGGGAGCAAACA
rnacentral:rRNA from 1 species